GAUGAUGUCAGCAACAAGAAAUUAGAAAAUAAAUAAUGAAUUGGUAUAAAUCAUUGAAAUUAUUGGAAAAUGGCAUGGAAACUUACUUACAUGAUGCCUAUAAUUAUUUCUUUUGUUGAAUUUAGUUUCAUUCAAUCUACAAUUACUUUAUUAAUUAUUUAUUUUAGCAAUGGUUAGAAUUACUUGUUAAUAUGGAAGAUAAAAAUAUAGGAAACUAUUACAAAAUAUAGGAAAUUGGUAGAAAUCAUUGAGAUUACUGGAAAAUGGCAUGGAAACUUACUUACAUUAUGCCUAUAAUUAUUUCUUUUGUUGAAUUUAGUUUCACUCUAUUUAGAAUUACUUUCUUAAUUAUUUCUUUUAGUAGUAGUUAGAAUUACUUGUUAAUACGGAAGAUAACAAUUUAGAAAACUAUUACAAAAUAUAGGAAAUUGGUAGAAAUCAUUGAGAAAUCAUUUAUUUAGAAUUACUUUGUAAAUACCUUGUUUUUUCUUAUACUAGUUAAAAUGGCGGACAUAGGCGAAGAGGACUUCAUUCAAAAUAUUAUUAAUGAAGGCAGCAACUACAAUGCAGAAGUAGAUAAUGCUUCAGGCGAAGAGGAUGAUGGCAGCCAGUACCUAAAAAUGACUGGUGAUGGCAGUGAUGAUGCUCCAGCUAAACAGAAGGAAGAAAUUGCCGAGGUAUAUGAAUCACUAUAUACAUGUACUGAUUUCAAUUCUUUACCUAUCAACAAUGGUUAUAAUUAAUGCAUAUUUUUUGUAGCCAUCUGCAUCCACGUCAAGGCCUAAACGGAAACGUGGUGGAAAGAAAAAGUUGGAAGGGCGUACCAUCAUCACAGAAGUGGACGAGGAAGGUGCACCAAUUGCUCCCCCCCCCCAGUGUUAACAACAUUUGUCAAUCAAUGUGGGUAUGUUGUUCGGGAAAACUUGCCCAUAAGCAUUAAAAAAUGGAGAGCAACCGCACUUACUGAUGCACCUAAAGACCUCGUCCCUAAGAGAGAGAAGGAAUUGUGUUGGCAACAGUAUCAUGAUACUGCACUUCACAUAUACAGAAGCGAAAGCAAAAUAACUGAAGGAAUUUGCCUUUAGGAAGAUGGCAAUUGCUUUCCAGAUGUACAAGAAAAACUUGCACAAACACUUUAUCAAGAAGGCAUUGAACCAGAUUUGGAGAACAAAUUCCAGAAGCUAGAACUUAUUGGGAAGCAUUCCAGCAAUACAAGUUGUUGGAAGAUGCCAAAAAGGGAGUUGUACAAACUAAAGAUAAUAUGAGCAAAAAAACACUAUCAUCAUCUUGGCCAAGGAGGUUAUAAGAUAGCAAUGUCGAAACGGCAGAGGAUGGAAAAUGACCUAGUGGCAAGAGGAAUCAUGCCGGCAACUCUUGAUUGGCCAUUGUGAGAAAAGAACUUUUUCUACGCUCAUGAUGGCACACUAAAUAGGGAAGAUGGAUUGUUUAUUACUAUCAAUUCAUUAAUAGCAGAAUUCACCAGGUUGCAAGCUACACUAAAGACUAAAUGGCAAGGAAAUUUCAGGCCUGACAGAGAGAAAGAUGAGCUGACUUAUGCACUAGAGAAUCCAGAACACAUUGGAUGUGUCCGAGGCAUGGGUGUAAUUCCAUGGAAGAAAGGCUUCAGUGAAGAUAUUGAGUCUUACAGAAGUCAAAGAAGAAGCAAGGCCACAACAGAAGAGAAGUUGCGUGUCCUAGAAGAACAAGUAGCUUCAACUAAUGAAAGAAUGGAUCAGCUUCAAGAGGUGUUAGCACGUAGCCAAGCAGGACCUGCAUCAGGUGCUAAUUUGGACAUAAUAAGCCCUGCUUCCCAGUGUCAUAGCAGCGUCGCUUCCACGGAGUUCCAACAAGUAGAAGAAUCGUCUGACAUGCUUGCGGGCAACAACGAAUACUACCCCAUGGACGACAUCACUAUGAGGACCCAAUGUGAGCUUCUUACUCCGGUGAGAAAAAUGGUCAAAGUAGUGGCUCACAGUAUUUCUGAAGUACCAGUACCAGGCGAAACAAUUCAUGGCAUGCAGAUUCCUGAAGGAUAUGCUAGAGUCCAGGUUGAUCGAGUGAAAAUAGGAUGGGAAGACCUGGACCUCAAGAUCCUAGGAGGCGAUGGUGAAACGGAACUGAGACACACCAUCCACACCUGGAGAUGAUGAGGACAUCAACACCAACGAUACAUGCACGCCGACACAAGUACCAAUUUCUGGUCCUAUUACUCGCGUCCGUGCUCAUCAAUUUAAUCAUCAAGUAAGUUCACUCUUGAGUUCCUAUCCAUCAUAUUUAGACCAUGGAGACACAUGAACUCUUGGUUUGGUUAGGAAACAGGGAGAAGACCGAAAGGGAAAAGGACUCGCGCAGGCUAGAUUCGGACUCCAGAACAGCACCAACUUGUGAUGGUCAUCACAGUCACAUACGGACUCGGAUUGGAGCGUUCAAGUACUUCACAGAUUUUUUAUGAAGUCUAUUUUCAUAUGGAUCUAGACUCAAAUCCAUAUCUGGUCUAAGGAGGCCGCAAUGACCAAAUUACUACCGAGAGAUUUUCUGGUGCUGCGUCACUUUAAUUUGGCCCAAUGGGUCGUGUAUCAAGUCAGGUCCAAUAGGGACGCAUCCUAGGGUUGGAUCAUGACCCCAACACCCUGGUGGUCAUCCUUCCACCUUCAUAUACCCCUUAGCCGCCACCAAGAACAGUUGGGUUUUGUUUAGAUCAAGUUUAGCUCUCGCUACUUGUUUGUAAGCGUGCGUGCUGGAUCAGCCGCCUCUUGUCUUCGCCACCCCACCUUAUUUGAGAUUGAAUUUGAAACCUUCAUCUUCAUCUAGUAAAUUCAGUACUUGUUAUACUUGUUCUUGCUAGUUCUUCGAUUGCUUGCAGGACGAGUGCCCUAGUGGCUGGGUGACGCGCUCCACAAGAUCACAGCAUCCAUUGGAGGUGGUGUAUCGGUUGCUAAAGCGCAGCUUGGAAGGCAAUAGUCAGGCCGUGAACGUCAUUUUCAUCCACCAAUCGAGUUACCCCACGCCCUCUCAUCGAAAGAUCGGGAACUAACCCUAGCGGAUUCCUAUCAAUUUGUUGGGCCAAGCGCUACAUAAGGUUUCCGCAAGCAGCCACGGUUCCCACAUCAUCCCCUCAGAGCUCAAGGCAUUGAUCACCAACGCCACCAUCCAGGGAUGCACCUGCUCCUCCCCCACCAACUACAAGGGAUCAAAGCAUGAGUCCACCGUUACCUUAGCCUCCACUUCGUAAGAAGAAAAACUCAAAGGCUUGGGUCUUGCCACCUUCGAAGCAGAAGAAGAACUAACCUCCUAAGAAACCAAAGCCUCCACCUCCGAAGCUUCCAUAUGAACGAACUAUGAAGGAAAGUCAUGCGAUAUCUAUGACUGAGGUUACUGCUCACUUCGGGCCAAAAGAAGAAGCUCGAGGAACCACCAAUUGAUGAAGCAAUGAAGAAAUACUUUAAAUCCCUAGUGGUUAAAAAAGUUGUGAAAGAAUCCAUCUCGGACUAUGAUUGCUCAAUCACAAAGGCAUUUGAGAAGAAAAAAAGAUCACAGUCCACCAUUCCCCAUCUCGAAGAACAAUCUCAACAAUCGAUCGAUCCACUCAAAGUUCUUUCAAAAAAAGUUGAGAUUCUAGCUCAAUGGAUUGCUGAGACCAAUCUCACAAAAGAGCAACUCCUAGGGAGGACAGUAUCGAAACUCACCUAGUUGUUGGUAAAUGGGAGUUUAAAUUGGGGGAACCUCUUGUGUGGCCACAGUUGGUGCCUCACCUACCAAUGAAAAUGUACGCAUUUCAUAAAUGGUACAUGGAGGCCACUGCAGAUGGAUGGAUCAUGUUUGCUGCCCGGGUUCAAGAUCGUGAUUACUUUUGAGGGUUAGAUGACAUAUGGAUUGAGUUUGAAAGUCUAUGGUACUUGUACCAUCAAGACCCUGUUGAAAAGUCCCUCAUUACUAUAUGGGCUCUGUAAGUGUUUACUCUGAUAUCUACAUUCUAGCUCCUACAUUAAUUGUGUGUUGUCCCCUCCCCUCUUUUAUUUUAUAUCACACAGAACAGAGAUUCAACAUUACCAGAGAAAACAAUACUAUCAUGUCGGCUUCAUGGACCUGCAGGUUAUAAACAAGGAAUGCUUAAUGAAAUGGCCAAAUCGGACCAUGAAGACUAUUUUCAACUUCCUGGAUAAACAGCAUCACAUGCAGUACAUACUUUUGCCGUACAACUUUAAGUGUGUUAUUCAUCCCUUUUUUCAUCAUCCGUUCAAGUUAAUAAUAAGUAUAUCUAACAUUGUGUGUGUGUGUGUGAAUAGCUUCCACUGGAUACUGCUUGUUAUUGAGAUUGAUCAAAGCCACGUCAUAGUGCUGGACCGGAAAAGGAAACCAAAAGCAGAGUACCAAAGCCUCGUAAACGCGCCUAACAGGGUAUGGGCUCACUUCAUAAAACUUCACCCAGACCGUUCAAGGAACAACUUCAUAUCAGGGGUACCUUUCCAGUGAUUUCAAUUUGGACAUCUAGUACAUGUCAUUUCUUUAAAACCACGACUGCUUGAAUAUUUCAUAACUCCUUUUUCCAUAUUUAGUGUUUGAGGCAGAAGGAUGGAAACAACUUAUGCGCAUACUAUUGUUGUGAGUUCAUCCACGGCAUUAUAGGUCCCAAGCAAGGUAAGGACCAUCAACACCAAGUGCGUAAACAUAAUUCAUAUCAAUUUCAAUAUUUUCAAUCUACACAUAUAUUUGUUUAAAAUGAUGAUGUUAAUUUGCACAUGAUAGAUUACUGAAAUGAGAGAAGAUUCCAUCGUCCUAGAACGACCCAAGGCAAUUCAAGAACAACUAUGUGGAUUCCUUUUGGAGGAGGUUGUAAAUCCAAAAGGUGGGUCAACUUCAUCCAAUCAGGAACUCGGAUAACGAUGCGUAGUGCAUAUUUGGAAAACUUCUAAUAUUUGAAGCGUAUAUAAAUGGAAUUCCUAUAUAAAUUGUAUAAAUAUAAUAUAUGUAAACUUUACUAUAUGCUAGAUCAAAAUAUAUAUAUAUAUAUAUAUAUAUAUAUUAGCGUAAUAUUACUACUAUAUGCAAACGGAUAUUCUACACUAAUACGAAUACUAACCAACUCACAAAUUAAAAUGAAGGAAAAUAGAAAAAAGAAUAACAUUUAGUACCGGUUGGUAAAACUAACCGAUACUAAACUGUUGUCCGCAAUAGCAUGAUGUGUCUCGCAGUUUAGUAUCGGUUGGUACUACGACUGGUACUUAAUGACCCAUUUAGUACCGUGUAUUUUGGCCAGUACUAAAUGGCGUGGUAUUUAGUAACAAACAACCGGUACUGGUCAGACACCGGGUUAGUGACCUGUACCGAUUCUCCGGCUGUGUAGUCUCACCGGACUACCGGAGAGCAGAUGAUUUCCACUGCCAAAGCGGUACGUUACGUCGGAACCAAAUCAUAGGCAAACACGAAUGCAAAUGAAAAAUCACCAAUCUUGCAUCCGGGAUUGUUAUCCUCGGCGUUGCUUUGAAAAAUCAUCACCAACAGGUUGGGAUGGUGUGUGUAGUAGAUAUGGGUUCCUUCAUUGGACGGGCCAUGUGGGCUGUGCGAUUUGGAAGAAAGUUCUGCAUGGGAAGAAGAAAGAGAUAUUAAUAUUACUUUUUUUUAUCCAGCAUCGGACUGGGCUUUUGUGCAGCGCGUCUGGCUGGCUGGGUGUGUGAGUCUGUAAUGUGCAGGCCAAGGUGGUGAUGGGCCUGUUACGUUACGGGCCGGAAGGGAAAAUGAUGAUACAGAGCUGCACGGCGCAUGCUUCCUGGACCGACGUGCAUGCAUACAUACAUCUACAUGCAUACGGAAGUUUUUUCCUUACCCAUCUUCAAAAUUCGUGCGCACAAUACGAUCCGUUGGAUGCAUCUCGCGCCCCCCGAUCAAACCCUAGCUAACCCCCGACCGUGCACGCCGCUGCCCCAUAUUCUGUCAUCCUGAACUAACGUACAUUCAUAGGCUGACUUCCUGAAGAUACAAAUUAAUUAAAAUUCGAAAUUCGAAUACACGUUGCUCUCGAGUCGGUCAGCCGCCCGGCUAUACCAUACCACGACGGUCGACGGGAAAGGCGGGCAGGAGCCUCUCUCAGUUCCAUAGGCCCCUACCAGAGGUUCCAGCUACCUGAAGCCGUCGAUUUAGUUCAUCCAGUUGCAUUCCAAUAUCAUCUAGCUAGAGACCUGCUGCGAAUUUCGUACGUUCUCUCUGUUAGUUUGGGGACAAGGCUGUAAAUGUUCCUUGUUCCCUUCAGAUGUUGUCUGGAUCAGAACAAAUAUAUAGGAGCCUGAUGACUCGCGGUUUCUCGAUUCAUCUUGGUUUGCUGCACUAGCUAGCGACCCUGGGUGAAUUUGCUCUGAAUUUUCCAAAUUUCCACAGACUUUUCGCUCUCUAGUAUCCUAGCCGGCUAGGUGCACUAGCUAGCUCUGUGCACAGUUGUGCACUACUAUUCUAUUGGAAGUCGUAUGUGAGCAGGUGAGUGAGUUACCCUUAUCCAUACUUUGAUCGCCUUGUGGUCUUGGUCGUCUCACACAUCCAUGUCUGAGUCUGGCUAGCUACAUGUUGAUCGGGAUAUACUGCUUUUAACUUAUGAUUGCCAGUCGUCAACUCAUACGGUCAUACGGUAACCGUGUAUAAAAUGGUUGUCGGCCACUUCUGUGAUGGAAAGAUUUUUACACGAGCGAAAGAAAGAGACACUGCCGGUUUCACAACACCGGCGACGAAUUCAGACGAGAGCUAGCGGUAAGACGAUAUCCACUAUCGCUACUCGCUAUGAACCGCGGGACAAAGUAAACCCGGCCAGUGUGACUGAAAUGGCUCGUGCAAUAUAAUGGAUCAAAGGGUGUGAUUUUCUGGCCUUCUAGGCGGCAGGCAUGACUUGACGCGGAUGGCUGCAGUCUCUCCAUGCACUGGUACUGCACACAAGUCAUGGAGCUUUCAAGGCUAGCUGUAUAAGCAGCACGUGCUCCUUUUGUUCACACAAGGCUCUGUAUAAUCUGUGAUUGGACUUUGAGGUCAACUCGGGCAAUUCUAGGGGAGGUGAAAAAAACUUCUCGUGAUAAGCAUUGGUCGGGUGAGUGGAGGCGAAACAUUUAUCCGUGACGUUUUCUUGUCACUAAAAAGAAAAGCUUGGAAAGCAGAAGAGCAAUACCACGAUGGUGGCGGCACGAGCUGCUGGACUACUCGGGAGCACUGACUUGACUUGAAGCCAUGAAGUCAAUAAUGCAAGCUACUGGAAUUUGUUAGUCGGAUGAGGGAGAUCAUAAUUGAAGUUAAGAUUUUCCUCACAAUGUUUCAUUUAUUGUCUGUAUGUAUUUACCUAUUGAUGAGGGAGAUUAUUGAAGGUACAAAUCCUUCUCUCGCUUGGAAUAUACUACUAACAAUUGAUGUAUUUACCUAGGCUAACUUUUUAUCUCUUUGCAAAUUAUAAGUUAGUUUAUUAACUAUGCAUGUGUUACGCAGCUGUCCACUGAAUCAUUGGGACCUUUUACACGCUUGCCAUACUCAUUCCUGUCCAAGUAUGCAAAUGCAAAUAAUCACAUAUGUUCAUCAAAGCCUCAUGAUGUAUUAUCUUCUGAAAAUAGCUAGGUUGACUCCUUAAAAAAGAAGUCCCUACUGAUCUAGCUAGCUAUAUUUCUUUGUAUUAUAUUGUUAACAAACUUUUAUUUACAGUCGACCAAAACAUAGUUUAGAUUCGUAAGGGAUAUAUGUUAAUGUAAAAUUUGAACAAAAUUUUGUGCAACGAGGGGCAAAAAAGAUAAAAUCAGCAUACCAAUUGGUGGAGCACCUGAUCAGUACCUGCUGGAAGUGUUCGGGUCACUGUCAUGAGGGAGCUAGGCCAAAGCGUUUCGUACUGACUACUCAGGCAGCGCCGUGGCGUAGUGCAUAAUGCUGCCAGGGCUUCUAGAAUGGUGGGAGGUGGAUAAGGGAAUUAAGGAUGCAUGGGGUUUCCACUCGCUUGGUUGCUUGCUUUUGACCGACAGGCAUGCCGUUUCCGGAAGCAUGUUGUUUAUGCAAUUCAUUGGAUAGAUUACUUGAGGAUCUAUGUUCAUGCAUAAAAUCUAGUGUUGAACAAAUUAUGUGCAAAAUCUAGUGUUGAACAAAAUCACGCGGUUUCUAGAAUUAUUUUGAAUUACUAGAUGAAUUGAAGUAGGAGCUUUUGUUUUCUCGAAUUGAAAAGGACUCCAUGUCCUUCUUGUCUCUGGCACAUCAUGCACCAAGAUACAAAGAUCCAGUCAAGUGCUAUAACGAACCAAGGAAUUAAUGAGCUUGAAAUUUGAAAAGCAGGAUCAGCUUGUUCCUUUUCAACCAGCCACGGAUGGAUAGAGCACUUUCUAGUGCUUGGACUCGGGAUAGGUCACUUUAGUUUUUAGUGACCAAAGCACCAUGGACGUGCAUGCGGCACUGUCCUUUAAUUUCUCCCUCUCAACUUGCUCCGCUUGAAUCAUCUAAGCCUAAGCCGCGACGUGUGCUUGAUUAUCUUUUAACCAGGCGAUGUAUUGUUCAAUAAUUCAUCAGGUCUAGCUAUAUCUUAGAGUUAAUCUUGUAGCAGAGCACAAGGCGCCGUUCAUUUAGUUCCAAUUUCAUUCCAUCUAAACCUGCGAAAUUCUAUUCCUUAUUUUUCCUCUGCGUUAGGUUAGUUAUGGCCAAGCCUAUAAAUAUGUAUUUCUUCUCCAGCUUGAACACUAGCUUGUACACUCGUAGCUCGUUUCCGUAGCAUUACCAGAUGUCUAGAUCAGAAGAGAAAGGCUAGCUAGGGACUGACUUUUUGCUAUGUUUCCGUUCUAGUAUCCUAGGUGCAAGAUUUUCACAAGGGAGAGCCGCGUCAAAGCAAUGUUUCAUCCUUUUGUUUCACUUUGCACAAAAAAAGUAUAGCAAACCCUAAAUUUUGCAUUGACACAACCGACUCUUUACAUCAUCUACGAAUCCAUAUUAUUAUUUUUUUGGUUGAAUCUUUCGUGUACUUUUCGGUGUUCUUUUUUUAAGGAAAAAAAAGUUCCUUUUGCAGCACGGGAGCACCUGACCGAUGUGCUUGCAGCUGCUCAAGUGUGUUGGCGUCACUCUCACGAGGUGUCUCGUCCCAACCACUCACUCAGGCAGCACCCUGCUGGAGUGGUGGAAGGUGUGAACAAGGACUUAACGAUGGGAUUUCCGGCUUGUGCGCUUCGGUAAUGGUGCGGGUCGCUCACUCCUUAUGGUCCCUCCCCAGCCGCAUCCCCGUCGCCGACCCGGAGACCGGCGGUGAGCUGGCCGACGGCGAUUCGUCGGCCGCCUCCGGCUCCACCACGACCUGCCCCAGUCCUCCACGCGCCGACCAGGAGCAGGACUCCGCCACCGGUGCUUUGGCGCUCCUCGGCAGCGCCGAUGGCGCCACCGAAAUCUUCGUCGUCACCAGGCCCGCUCGUCCGGCCGUCAUCCCAGGCCCAGAGGCGCUCCUCCGUCUCGCUUCUCCUUCCACGUCAUCGAUCGUCUCAUGGUCAUGGAUAUAGAACCUGCUGCUGCAUUACCU
rnacentral:lncRNA from 1 species